rnacentral:rRNA from 1 species
GAUGAGCGCUGGCGGCGUGCUUAACACAUGCAAGUCGAACGGAAAGGCCGAAGCUUGCUUCGGUACUCGAGUGGCGAACGGGUGAGUAACACGUGGGUGAUCUGCCCUGUACUUCGGGAUAAGCUUGGGAAACUGGGUCUAAUACCGGAUAUGACGAUCUCUUGGAUGGGGUUGUGGAAAGCUUUUGCGGUAUGGGAUGAGCUCGCGGCCUAUCAGCUUGUUGGUGGGGUAAUGGCCUACCAAGGCGUCGACGGGUAGCCGGCCUGAGAGGGUGUACGGCCACAUUGGGACUGAGAUACGGCCCAGACUCCUACGGGAGGCAGCAGUGGGGAAUAUUGCACAAUGGGCGCAAGCCUGAUGCAGCGACGCCGCGUGGGGGAUGACGGCCUUCGGGUUGUAAACUCCUUUCGCAAUCGACGAAGCCUUUUGGUGACGGUAGGUGGAGAAGAAGCACCGGCUAACUACGUG